rnacentral:rRNA from 1 species
CAGAGGCCCCGAGCGUUACCCGGAAUCACUGGGCGUAAAGCGUGUGUAGGUGGUUAUAUUAGUCGUGCGUUAAAACCCAGGGCCUAACCUUGGAAGUGCGCACGAAACGGUAUAACUCGAGGGCGUGAGAGGUGCAUAGAACUCUAGGUGUAGGGGUGAAAUCCGUUGAUAUCUAGGGGAAUACCGAAAGCGAAGGCAGUGCACUGGCGCGUUCCUGACACUCAUGCACGAAAGCGUGGGUAGCAAACAGGAUUAGAUACCCUGGUAGUCCACGCCCUAAACGAUGUCAACUAGGUGUUGGGAGGGUAAAACCUUUUAGUACCGGAGCUAACGCGUGAAGUUGACCGCCUGGGGAGUACGGCCGCAAGGUUA